rnacentral:rRNA from 1 species
UAGUCCACGCCGUAAACGAUGGACACUUGGUGUUGGAGGUAUUGACCCCUUCAGUGCCGUAGCUAACGCGUUAAGUGUCCCGCCUGGGGAGUACGGUCGCAAGAUUAAAACUCAAAGAAAUUGACGGGGGCCCGCACAAGCGGUGGAGCAUGUGGUUUAAUUCGAUGCAACGCGAAAAACCUUACCUGGGCUUGACAUAUACUGGAAAUAUCCAGAGAUGGAUAUGCCUUCGGGCCAGUAUACAGGUGCUGCAUGGCUGUCGUCAGCUCGUGUCGUGAGAUGUUGGGUUAAGUCCCGCAACGAGCGCAGCCCCUGUCUUUAGUUGCCAGCAUUUAGUUGGGCACUCUAAAGAGACUGCCGACGUUAAGUCGGAGGAAGGUGGGGAUGACGUCAAGUCCUCAUGGCCCUUAUGUCCAGGGCUACACACGUGCUACAAUGGUAAGUACAGAGGGUUGCUAAACCGUGAGGUCAUGCUAAUCUCUUAAAGCUUAUCUAAGUUCGGAUUGAAGU